UACGUAGGGUGCAAGCGUUGUCCGGAAUUAUUGGGCGUAAAGAGCUCGUAGGCGGUUUGUCGCGUCUGCUGUGAAAACUCGGGGCUUAACCCCGGGCCUGCAGUGGGUACGGGCAGACUAGAGUGCGGUAGGGGAGACUGGAAUUCCUGGUGUAGCGGUGAAAUGCGCAGAUAUCAGGAGGAACACCGGUGGCGAAGGCAGCUCGCUGGAACGGUACUGACGCUGAGGCGCGAAAGCGUGGGGAGCAAACAGG
rnacentral:rRNA from 1 species